rnacentral:rRNA from 1 species
UAAUACUCCAUAGAUUAGAGACACUGGAAUGUUCUUUAGUCGAAAGUUCUGGCGCCUUAGGAUGGAUCUGCGGUCGAUUAGGUUGUUGUUGGGGUAACGGCCCAACAAGCCUGUAAUCGAUACGGGUUGUGGGAGCAAGAGCCCGGAGAUGGAAUCUGAGACACGAUUCCAGGCCCUACGGGGCGCAGCAGGCGCGAAAACUUUACAAUGCAGGAAACUGUGAUAAGGGAACUCCGAGUGCCCGUAUACGCGGGCUGUCCAGGUGUUUAAAAAUCAUCUGAAGAAAGGGCCGGGCAAGACCGGUGCCAGCCGCCGCGGUAAUACCGGCGGCUCGAGUGGUGGCCACUAUUAUUGGGCUUAAAGCGUCCGUAGCUGGACCGAUAAGUCUCUUGGGAAAUCCGCCGGCUCAACCGGCGGGCGUCUAAGGGAUACUGUUAGUCUAGGGACCGGGAGAGGUGAGAGGUACUCCGGGGGUAGGAGUGAAAUCCUGUAACCCCCGGGGGACCACCGAUGGCGAAGGCAUCUCACCAGAACGGCUCCGACAGUGAGGGACGAAAGCUGGGGGAGCGAACCGGAUUAGAUACCCGGGUAGUCCCAGCCGUAAACUAUGCGCGUUAGGUGU